AAAAAAAGUCCCCGGACCAAUUUCAGCUGAUAAUGUUGGUCCGCCCUCGAAAAAAGUAGUCCUGGUUUUGCGCAUGCUAGCCUCGAUUCCAGGCCGCUAGGCCUUGUGAAGGAGGCUAUGCGCAUGCAUGCACAGCUUUUGAUGCAGCUGAAAAGUUUGUUCCAUUUAUUCUUAUGGAGCUUGAGCUACACACAGGGGAGGAAGAGCUGAUAGAAGAGGUAUUCCACUAUGUCACCACCAUGCAAGGAGUACCCUGCAUGAUGACUGUAAAGAGGGAAGAAAAAGGGUCAUCAGAAGAAAGGCCAAGCAGUUUGUAGUGAAAAAUGGUGACUUCAUGUACAAACACAAGAGAAAGGACAGAGAUGAUGUGUUGAUCCGAUACAUUAUCAACCGAAGAGAGAGAAAGAAAAUACUGUUCGCUUGCCAUGUUGAUGAAACAUCUGGACAUAAUUAUGGGGGUGACUCGCACACUUGCCCGAAUUAAGGAGCGUUACAUGUGGCAUGGCAUGGUAAAGGACGUGAAAGAAAUGGUGUCUACUUGUGACAUUUGCCAGCGAGUUAAUCGAAAGCUAACUACUGGCAGGCCCGAACUUCACCCCAUCCGUGUGCAGUUUCCUUGGUACAUGCUAGGAAUUGAUUUUGUUGGUCCUCUCUCUCCAACUGCUAACGAUGGUUCCCGCUACAUCUUAACCAUGAGCGAUUACUUUACCAAGUGGGUAGAAGCUAUUCCUACACCUGACAAGAGUGCAUCAUCAGUAGCAACAUCAUUGUUUA